rnacentral:rRNA from 1 species
UAGGGAAUCUUCGGCAAUGGACGAAAGUCUGACCGAGCAACGCCGCGUGAGUGAAGAAGGUUUUCGGAUCGUAAAACUCUGUUGUUAGAGAAGAACAAGGACGUUAGUAACUGAACGUCCCCUGACGGUAUCUAACCAGAAAGCCACGGCUAACUACGUGCCAGCAGCCGCGGUAAUACGUAGGUGGCAAGCGUUGUCCGGAUUUAUUGGGCGUAAAGCGAGCGCAGGCGGUUUCUUAAGUCUGAUGUGAAAGCCCCCGGCUCAACCGGGGAGGGUCAUUGGAAACUGGGAGACUUGAGUGCAGAGGAGGAGAGUUGAAUUCCAUGUGUAGCGGUGAAAUGCGUAGAUAUAUGGAGGAACACCAGUGACGAAGGCGGCUCUCUGGUCUGUAACUGACGCUGAGGCUCGAAAGCGUGGGGAGCAAACAGG